AUGGCUUCUUGGCCUUUGGCUAAGAUCAAGUGUAGUGCCUGUUCUCAGUUUAAUGUCUGACGUGUCCUCUACCAAGGACAAUAUGUUAAAUGGAUUUUUGGAGCAGGGAGAUGGACUAGGAGCUUGCUCCACUCUGCUCAUUGACCCCGUAUUACAGUAGCUCUGGGAAUGGUGCACAAAAG